rnacentral:rRNA from 1 species
GUGAGGAAUAUUGGUCAAUGGGCGAGAGCCUGAACCAGCCAAGUCGCGUGAAGGAAGAAGGAUCUAUGGUUCGUAAACUUCUUUUGCAGGGGAAUAAAGUGCAGGACGUGUUCUGUUUUGUAUGUACCCUGAGAAUAAGGAUCGGCUAACUCCGUGCCAGCAGCCGCGGUAAUACGGAGGAUCCGAGCGUUAUCCGGAUUUAUUGGGUUUAAAGGGUGCGUAGGUGGUUUGAUAAGUCAGCGGUGAAAGUUUGCAGCUUAACUGUAAAAAUGCCGUUGAAACUGUCGGACUUGAGUGUAAAUGAGGUAGGCGGAAUGCGUGGUGUAGCGGUGAAAUGCAUAGAUAUCACGCAGAACUCCGAUUGCGAAGGCAGCUUACUAAGCUACAACUGACACUGAAGCACGAAAGCGUGGGGAUCAAACAGGAUUAGAAACCCCUGUAGUCC